rnacentral:rRNA from 1 species
UGGGGAAUAUUGGACAAUGGGCGAAAGCCUGAUCCAGCCAUGCCGCGUGUGUGAAGAAGGUCUUCGGAUUGUAAAGCACUUUAAGUUGGGAGGAAGGGCAGUUACCUAAUACGUAAUUGUUUUGACGUUACCGACAGAAUAAGCACCGGCUAACUCUGUGCCAGCAGCCCCCGGUUAAUACAAA